rnacentral:rRNA from 1 species
AGGGCUCGCAGGCGGUUUCUUAANUCUGAUGUGAAAGCCCCCGGCUCAACCGGGGAGGGUCAUUGGAAACUGGGGAACUUGAGUGCAGAAGAGGAGAGUGGAAUUCCACGUGUAGCGGUGAAAUGCGUAAAGAUGUGGAGGAACACCAGUGGCGAAGGCGACUCUCUGGUCUGUAACUGACGCUGAGGAGCGAAAGCGUGGGGAGCGAACAGGAUUAGAUACCCUGGUAGUCCACGCCGUAAACGAUGAGUGCUAAGUGUUAGGGGGUUUCCGCCCCUUAAUGCUGCNGCUAACNCAUUAAGCACUCCGCCUGGGGAGUANNGUCGCGAGACUGAAACUUAAAGGAAUUGACGGGGGCCCGCACAANCGUAGGAGCNUGUGGUUUAAUUCAAAACANCNCGAAGAACCUUACCCGGUCUGGNCAUCCUCUGACAAUCCCUAAAGAAUAGGACGUCCCCCUCGGGGGCAAAGUGACAGGGUGGUGCAUGGUUUGUCNCCCGCUCGCGUCGGGGGGAUGAUAGGCUUAAAACCCCGCAAC